UAGUCCACGCCGUAAACGAUGAUAACUAGCUGUCCGAACCCACAGGGUUUGGGUGGCGCAGCUAACGCAUUAAGUUAUCCGCCUGGGGAGUACGGUCGCAAGAUUAAAACUCAAAGGAAUUGACGGGGGCCUGCACAAGCGGUGGAGCAUGUGGUUUAAUUCGACGCAACGCGCAGAACCUUACCAGCUUUUGACAUCCUGGUCGCGGAUUUGGGAGACCAUUUCCUUCAGUUCGGCUGGACCAGUGACAGGUGCUGCACGGCUGUCGUCAGCUCGUGUCGCGAGAUGUUGGGUUAAGUCCCGCAACGAGCGCAACCCUCAUCCUUAGUUGCCAGCAUUUAGUUGGGCACUCUAAGGAAAACUGCCGGUGAUAAGCCGGAGGAAGGUGGGGGAUGACGUCAAGUCAUCAUGGCCCUUACGGGGUAGGGGCUACACACGUGCUACAAUGGUCGGUACAGAGGGUUGCGAAGCCGCGAGGGUGGGAGCUAAUCUCAUAAAAACCGAUCGUAGUCCGGGA
rnacentral:rRNA from 1 species